rnacentral:rRNA from 1 species
AACGAACGCUGGCGGCAGGCUUAACACAUGCAAGUCGAGCGCCCCGCAAGGGGAGCGGCGGACGGGUGAGUAACGCGUGGGAACGUACCUUUUGGUUCGGAACAACUCCGGGAAACUGGAGCUAAUACCGGAUAAGCCCUAACGGGGAAAGAUUUAUCGCCGAAAGAUCGGCCCGCGUCUGAUUAGCUAGUUGGUGAGGUAACGGCUCACCAAGGCGACGAUCAGUAGCUGGUCUGAGAGGAUGAUCAGCCACACUGGGACUGAGACACGGCCCAGACUCCUACGGGAGGCAGCAGUGGGGAAUAUUGGACAAUGGGCGCAAGCCUGAUCCAGCCAUGCCGCGUGAGUGAUGAAGGCCUUAGGGUUGUAAAGCUCUUUUGUCCGGGAAGAUAAUGACUGUACCGGAAGAAUAAGCCCCGGCUAACUUCGUG